UACGGGGGGAGCAAGCGUUGUUCGGAUUUACUGGGCGUAAAGGGCGCGUAGGCGGCGUAACAAGUCACUUGUGAAAUCUCCGGGCUUAACUCGGAGUGGUCAAGUGAUACUGUUGUGCUAGAGUGCGGAAGGGGCUACUGGAAUUCUCGGUGUAGCGGUGAAAUGCGUAGAUAUCGAGAGGAACACCUGCGGCGAAGGCGGGUAGCUGGGCCGACACUGACGCUGAAGCGCGAAAGCUAGGGGAGCGAACGGG
rnacentral:rRNA from 1 species